rnacentral:rRNA from 1 species
GCCAGACUUGAGUGCGGAAGAGGAUGGGGGAAUUCCUGGUGUAGCGGUGAAAUGCGUAAAUAUCAUGAGGAACACCGGUGGCGAAGGCGCCCAUCUGGUCCGUUACUGACGCUGAUGCGCGAAAGCUAGGGGAGCGAACGGGAUUAGAUACCCCGGUAGUCCUAGCCGUAAACGGUGGGCACUAGGUGUUGGAGGCAUCGACCCUUCCAGUGCCGCAGCUAACGCAUUAAGUGCCCCGCCUGGGGAGUACGGCCGCAAGGUUGAAACUCAAAGGAAUUGACGGGGGCCCGCACAAGCGGUGGAGCAUGUGGUUCAAUUCGACGCAACGCGAAGAACCUUACCCAGGCUUGACAUGCACCGGACCGGUGUGGAAACACACUUUUCCUUCGGGACUGGUGUACAGGUGCUGCAUGGCUGCCGUCAGCUCGUGUCGUGAGAUGUUGGGUUAAGUCCCGCAACGAGCGCAACCCUUGCCCUUAGUUGCUAACGAGUAAAGUCGAGCACUCUAGGGGGACUGCCGGCGGUAAGCCGGAGGAAGGUGGGGACGACGUCAAGUCCUCAUGGCCCUUACGCCUGGGGCUACACACGUGCUACAAUGACCGACACAGAGGGCUGCGAUACCGCGAGGUGGAGCUAAUCCCAAAAAGUCGGCCUCAGUUCGGAUUGCAGUCUGCAACUCGACUGCAUGAAGGUGGAAUCGCUAGUAAUCGCUGAUC